UUUUAAAGUACACUUCUUCCUAAGGUUGACUUGUUUUAGGGAUAGCCAAACCUACAGGUUCUUCUAAUUGAUAUACUCAUCUCACCAACACUAAUGUUAAUGUUAUUUUUAAUGCAUUUCAAAGAGGUCAUCAAACCAAUAGAAGUUCAGAACUGGACAAGAAUGGCCAGCCAGUAAAUUCUAGACUUUCUCUUUGAAACCUCAUUUCUUAUAAUGCAAGAAUGUAACCUCUUAAUUGCUCUAUUUGUAUUACAUCAUCAUGUUUGGACUUUCCUAGAUACCCUUGACCUCUCUGGUGUUUCCUGUUAUGGUGAGUCUGUUCUAACAACCUUAUUAUAGUCAUGUUUUUGCACAUUAACCACACUCCAUGGAAGAAGCCGUUUAACAUGAGACUUGUUCCUAAGUACUACACUGGCUCUGGCUUCCAAGUAGAGGAUUACCCUUUGAUUACUUUAUCUGGCUACGAGGACAGAAAGAUUCUUGGGAGCCAACCUCCCAUCAGGUCAACUAUUUUGCUACAGAUACUACUUUGCAGGUUUAGUCCCCUAUACUUUGAGGUCUUCAGCCUCAAUUUGACUUCCUGUCUUGUUCAAUGAGAAUUUUGGAGUUAUGUCAGGUGAAGAAUCAAUCUAUCCAGUCUGGAAUGUUGCUGGGAGGAGGGCUGUCUUUCUGUAAUGGGAGAAAGUGUUUAUUUGAACUACAGAGUAAGUUGUAGGCUAUAAUGUAUUGUGCAAUUGUUUGAUUUUAAAGAAAGCAUAGCUUUACUCUUCCAAAACUGAACAUCUUACGUCGGCAUUCCUAUUUAUUAUGAGCUGCGCUGGGCCUUACAGAUAUUGUUUCCUGGAUCCUCUAACAAGUUAAUUAUUGAUAUUAAUCCUCUAAUAAAUUAAUUAUUAAUGUACAUUGUACAGAUAAAUGUAAUUGGAGAGAAAAUAAUUUUAACAGGAUCAGAAUCCCUUCCAGUUCCAAUUUAAAUUUGAAGGCUUAAUUCAUGGCAUCUUAUAGUUCAAAGAAAGCUUUGAAUUGUUUAGUAUAUACUAACACAUAUUAAAGAAUGAGAAGUAUGGAUAAAUUUCCCAAUAGUUGCCUAGCAGAAGCAUAUACUUAGUAAGUAUAUGACUUACUAAGCAGGUGAUCACGAGUGAUUUAGGGAGCCCUUUGUAGCUUUCCCCUAUUUACCUUUAGCCUUUUUCCAUAUCACCAAUGACCUCUUAAUUUUCAUAUUGCCUAUAGAAUUAAGUUACCCUGUCCAAGAAGUCACUUUGUUUUACCCUGGCCCCAGUGCAUUCUUAAAUAUCAGGGGUUAUAUUCCCUUUUACUCGGGCAUUGGAUGCCUCAUGUUGCCUUAUAUCAAACUUUAAAUGAUAUCCUCAUGUCCUGAGGGCAGGACGGUAGAAGAAGAACUCAUUUGGCAUUAGACUUUUUCAUGAUGGACAACCUGCUGCUUAUUUGGAAGACCUUCAUCUUCAAAAUAUUGAUCCAAGUCCUUUGGGGCUGCUGCUACUGCCAGAGUUGUUUUGAGUUUGACAGUACCUCUCCAGAGCCUUAAGGAUCAGAAGACUGCUGAGACAGAUACGGCUAUGCUAAGCUCUUCAUGUUCAUCUUAGGGACUCACUGCAUUCUAUUUUUUAACUACGUGUGCUACUCAGAGUUAGGAGAUCUUGGAUGGGACUCCAAAACGAUUUAACAGAUUCCAUACCUUAUGUUAGGACCAGAGCAGGUAGUAAAGCAUGUAGUGAUAUGAUUUUGACCCAGAAGGAUGGUUUUGGGUAUCAACCUCAAGAAUGUCUGCAAAAGGUUUUCAAUGAAGACAACAAAGAAUACCAGUGCUUUCAUCGGGAGGAGGAAUGAGCCUGAUGGUUGUAGUGCCUUUUGCUUGUGGUACACGUAGCCAAAGGAGCUCUGUGAUGCCAACAGACAUUGAGAAAGGUAAUCUUGGAUCACUGCCAGCUGAAUUGGCCAGUGCACCUUGCAUUGAGUACUCUAUAUUGCAUUAUCUGUCCUUUUUAUGAGGUGCUUAUUGUACUUAGUUUUUAGGGCCCUGAAAGCUUUCUUUGCACUUACUGGUUCAAAUCCUAGCAUCAACUACAUGUUAAAAGUAGUCAAGAAAAGAAUGAUUUGGCUUAUUUUAAGCUUUAAGAGUAACAUACUGACAGCUUAUGAAUAUAUAUAUACAAUAUAAUUUAUAUCAUAAUAUGAAUAUAUAACCAGCUUAACUCAUCUUCAGAUUUAGAUCCAGCACACAAAAUAGCAUUUUAAAGCAAAAUACUUUGGAUUUUAUGCAUGAGGGAACUACAAACUGUACACUUUCCACAAGGGGGGGAAUAAAUACUUUUUUCUGUGUCCUUGGAGUAUGGGUGGGAUUCGUGGAUACAUUUCUCUGGUUCACCAUUUCAGUGAUGUUAAGGAACCUCAUGUUGCAGCACAGAAGAUUUUUCAUCGUUGGAAGUUAAGGUUAGUUCACUUUCAUUGAUUCCUCCCUACACUGGACUAAAGCAUUUAAUCUGGAAACGCAUAGGUCUCUAUAUAGCUUAUCAUAACUUCUAUCCAUAGAAAGGGGCUUUCAACAACCUGUCAGUAUAUUGUGAAAUGUCUCCUAUAUCAACUGGUAAUAAGAAAUCAGAAUUACAGCAUUAAUGAAGUAUCACCUAGAUUGAACUAAGCAGGAAAAUUUUAGAUGGUAGUAUACUAUCACAACCAAUACAUAACGGUUCCUGAAUCCUAAAAAGGUGGAGUUCUUUAUGGUAUUAGUGCCUAUCUUCAAAUUACUUGCUCUCUGGAAAGAUGCUGAUAAAGUUUUGUCUGGCACCAUAGUAUCCCUGCUCUAUGGGAACCAUAUCUGUACAAUAGAAUCUCCACCCACUGGCAAGAUGAUAGCUUCAAGGACCGUCAUCUUCCAAGUGGGCAUGAAGCUGUUAGCUUUUUUUUUUUUUUUUU